rnacentral:tRNA from 1 species
ACUUAAAUAGUUUAAAAAAAAUUUUAAUUUGUGGAAUUAGAGAUAACUUUAGUUUUUAGGUA